GGCUCCUCCCCUAUGGUGCUGGAAUGGCCCGUCCCGUCCGUAUUAGUCGAGGCAGCAGCUGGUCGGAGGGACAGACAGCGACACCUUGUGGUCGGAGACGUCUCCAGGGAAAAGUUUCUAGGAAAAUAAGCAAAUAAUAAAAGAUUUAAGGUGAAAAAUGAAAGAAUUAAUGUGAAUAUCUGUCGUACGUGAAAUGUUGUAUUAAGCAUUAUGGAGGUUAGGAAAAGAUGACAAAUUGAAUUAAAUCGUUCAGAAUAUGAUGUCGACAAAUAUAGUGUCUUUCAUGAAAAAGAUCGUUAAAGGUAGUGGUGGCGAAGAUGCUAUUCAGAGAACAACGAAACCCGUUCUGUCUCCCGCCGUUCAGGAAAAUCCAUCUGGAAGGCCUUCUCCGGGAGAUUUGAAACAUUUAACUAGCGAAGAAAAGCACAUUUUGCAAAGAGUUUGGGAGAAAGAAGAAGAGUUCGAACAGGAAACGCAACGAUUAAAAGUAAAUACUAAAGCAGAAGUAACAGAAAAAUAUGUCAAACAGCCUUGUAGAAUUUGUAGAAAAAUUUUAGAACCCAACGAGAAGAGUUACAUGUGUGAUGGAUGUCAGCAAAGAGUGUGCGACGAUUGUGCUUCGUACACAUCAGAAACUAAUCAGGAAUGGAAAUGUAGCUUUUGCAGAAGACGCCAUCACAAUCAGGUUUCGAGAAUCACGAAUCAAGAUGUAUCAAAAGAGAUUCCAAAAGAAACCUCGCAAAUUAAGAUGACAGAUAAAAAGCAUGCAGAACUGAUUGAAAAAAGCAAGGACGAAGAAUUGCCGUUGCCUAACCAGAAAAUUAAACGAGAGCUUUCAAAACAAGACACUCGUAGAAGUAGACCUCCAGUCGAAAGACAAAGUAAAGUUGAUGUACCGGAAGAAACGGAAACAACUUCGAAACAAAAUACACGAACGUCAUUUUCCCGUUCACCCGCGGAAAAUAUAAAACCCGAUCAAAGUAAAUCUCAUUCCUAUUCUCAUAGCGAUUAUUCAUCAACUACGGGUCAGCAAAGACCUCUUACAUCAUCCGAUUCCAGUAGAAACGAUCAUACGGAUCAAAGUUCAUCGAAAUCAAAGCGGGGAGGUUCCGAACAGUCUUUCUCUCGACCGGUUGAUCGGUCACUUAAUCAAAGUAUUAGAACAACGAAACAAAAAGCAGACAACGAGAAAUUUGUGCAGCCGCGCAUAUUUUCUACCUCAGAGAGUUCUGUCGAAGAUCCAGAAGACGAAGACGAAAAGAAACGAAAAAUUAAAAUUAGAAAGAAAAGCAAAUUUCAGAAAUCUAGAACAGAAGUGGAUAGUCCUUUCAAUAGCAUGGGAUCAUCUACCGAAACCGGAAGUGCUUUUGAAAGCUUCGACAACGAUUCCCGUUCUUUACUCACCGUACAACGAAGAAACUCCGAUAGCUCCGACGUUAGUGAUCUUAGUGGAGACGGAUCUCACGACCAUAACCAUCGACACGGCUACGUCGAUAGAAGAAGGAAUACCAGAAGAAAGUCGCUUAAUUAUGAUUCUGACGGUCCCGCCAUUCGAGAAAGUCACAGACAUAGUAACCGUCUUUCUUCGCAGAAAUCUUAUUCUUUUGAAGAUACUCCUUCGGAAGAAAGAAGAGCGAGGAGAGUUUAUACCGAGGACUUUCCCAUUCGCAAUCGUGCAAUGUCUUUUGAUCAUGGUCUAGCCAUUGACGAAAGAAGACAUCGAAGUCUUCCUCGAAUACCUCCAGUCAGACCUCGAUAUCACGAUGGAGACAAUAUUAAAAUAAUCAUCGACGAUGUUGACGGCGAAUCGGUCGUCGGACGUCAUUUCAGUUGGGAAGAUCGACUGAGCGAAUCUCCUUACAAUUCUUCUUAUAGACCUAGCCAUAACAGACGAGGUAAAGGAUCUUCUUCUUCUUUGUUGUCCUCGGAAGAUAGUUCAGAAACUGAAGUAUCACAGGUUUUAUCAGUGAGAAGAAAAUUACCUAGGACACCAGAUCGGUACAGUCGCACUAAUGGUGAAGUUAGCCUAAAAAUACAGUAUGACCAGAUUCAUAUGGAGUUAAUUGUAACAGUCAUGGGAGCUCGGAAACUUCGUUGCAGAAGGCAUUCCAUCAGCACUUUACCUCGUGCAUAUUGCAAACUUCGUAUUUUACCACCAUCAGGACAAGCAUCGAGAAAAUCGUGCAUAGCAGAACCGAGUAUUAAUCCCGAAUGGAACAACGUCUUUGUCUUUACUGACAUAUCUACUGAAGAUCUAAUGGAAAAAAUAUUGGACGUUACUAUUUGGGAUGCAGGAGUUUCCGAAAAUCAUUGCUUUUUGGGAGAAACUCAGAUUCCAUUUAGACAAGUAGAGCUGCAUAAUACCCCAAAAUGGUAUUAUCUAUCAUCUCAAACAUUAUUGUUGCCUUCAUAUAAAGCUGGAUCAACAGGAAGUUUGGUGCCUUCUACUCCAGCUCACGACAUGGCUAGACAAUUAUUGAGAAGAGGUGCUCAAAGAGAAAUGUUACAAUCGCGCUCGCUUACAGAUGAUUAUCCUUAUUGUCGAGAUGAAUGGAAACUAGUUAAAAGCUCAUCGAUGGAUUCAACUUAUGGCAACUGCAGUUUGUUAGGGCACGGAAAAAUGACAACAUGGCCAUUUCAGCAACUUCUCACAAAUAUACUGAAGCAAGUUGAAGUUUCUCUCUGUUAAAACUAAUAACGAUUAACUGAUACAAAAAAGAUAACUUUUUGUAACAACAUAUCAUCAAAAUGUGCCAAAUGCCGUAUAUCUUAUCAUCAUUGAAAAGCCCAAGCAACUUGCUGUAGUUGUAGCAGCAAACCAUUUUUAUUACUGUAGAUCAACAAGAUACUGGAAAUGGCUAAAUUUUAGAAAUGUUAUUUGACAUCUUUCCUGGGACCAACAAUAGAAAAUGUAAUGAUGUUAUUGUCUAUAAUUUUCAGUAUGAUAAAUUCCUGAUUUAACAUAAAACAAAAAUGUUC
rnacentral:misc_RNA from 1 species